rnacentral:rRNA from 1 species
UCGGCGGUGUCCACCUCUUCCCAUUCCGAACAGAGAAGUUAAGCCCGCCAGAGCCGAUGGUACUGCAGUAACAUGUGGGAGAGUAGGUCGGUGCCAAAU